UCGCAGCCGUAACGCUUCCUUGGCGGCGGCCCACACAACCGCGAUCGUUGCUUGGGUGCACAUGAACGCCGACACCGCGCCGCUCAGCUUGGAGUGGGGGGGUAAGCGAGGGCGGCGCACCAUCUGCGGCUUCAACGUUGCGAGUGACUGCGUGGGAGGUCUCGUCCUGCUUAUUGGUAUCCCCGCACUCGUUGUAGCGCACCUUGCAGCUGUUGUGCUGACGCCACUCUUCGCUGCUUCCCACGACGGCAAUACACUUCUGUUGGAGGUGCUUCUUGAGCUGUUUCUUUGCAUGGGCGCCGUGGCGCUUCUUUUUCUUCUCCUCGUUGCCGAUCCCGGCUUUGUGGAGGUGCCCACAGCUCUAAGCUGCCGCUGCAGUCAUUGCGGCACUGAAGUAGACGACUUCGACCACCAUUGUGGUGCCGUGGGAGCGUGCAUCGGUAAGGGUAACAUGUGCUACUUUAUUCUGUUUCUGCUGUUCGCCGCGCUGCUUUGUGCUCUUGGAGCGGUGCAGAAUGCCGCCUUUGUCGCAGCCACCGCACGCGCGCACAUCCGUGACACGGGCCCUUCAUGGACAUCUAUCGCAGCGCUCAUCCAAACCGUCCUCACGGCGCUACGUUUGCCAAGAAUCCUGUGCUUACUUGUGCUAAGCGUGGCGGCCGUGAACGGGGGCGUGGUGUGCACAUUUCUCUGUCUCCGAUACACCUAUCUUGCUUACAAGGGGCUCAGCUCCGUGCGCCGGCGCAGACGGUUUGACGUUUCAGGCUCUCUCUCCAAGGUUUUCGCGAACACCUUUCGCCCAGCCUUCUCACAUAACUUUAUGCUUCCGCGAUACCACGCCUUAGCGGAUAUGUCCGACUGACGAGAAGCGCGCUGAGAGCUCUGAGACCCGCGUAUGGCCCGCAGUGUACCUCCUUCUCCCCUUCUCACUCUCGUCUGUGGCAUCGUGGUCGCCGAUUGCGCCGGGAGCAGUGACGUGUGUUUCCGAACGCUUUCUGGACUCGCUUAGCACGAGAGCUAGCGGGGCCCCCUCACUACGGAUUCACAUCCGCAAGCAAGCUUGUCCCCCUCGUAUUUUUUUUUUUCGGGGAGGGGGGGGAAGGGGAGAGAGGGCGGAGAGGUGUCAAGAUGGAAAACCGAAAAACGUCUGUGGCGCGUGCCGAAAGGAUGGAUGCUGCAGCUCAUCGUCCAUUUUCGAAGCAAGUGACGACCGGAGAGCGGCUGCCUCGUCAAAGCUUCUUUGACCGACGAUUGUGUGAGCGCGCCAUGUGCAGGCGACUGCACACUCUGCCCCCUCUUCAGCACUCUUGUCUCACGCGCGCCUGGCCGCAUUCCUGGCCAGCCGCUCAAGUUUUGGCGAGUACUGACAACGGUAUACUCUCCAUCGCGCGAAUUCUGAGUCGCGUUCGCGCGCUCUUCGGCAACCCCAACAGCGUCAACGCGCUCCCCUCCCUCGCGCUGCAUUACGUAGCUGUGCUGCGGCGUUUUCCACAGGAUGUGUGGAAGCGCGUCGCGUACACGGCCCGACGGAUACUCACAAAGUGGCCGUCUUUCAAGUGCGCGCCGCACAAAUCUGCUCUUUUUGCUAAGAAAAUAGCCCGGGUGUCUCCGCGCGCGGCAGCCAACGGUGAAGAGCACGGCUCAUCCCGACAUUGUUCUCGGAGGCCUUGGGAAUGGCUUGGGUAUCAUUUAGCUGUAUUCCACAGGAUUGCAGGGGAUCGCCACACAGACAUACAC
rnacentral:misc_RNA from 1 species